CUACCUUAGAGAAAACAGGGAGACAUCAGUAAAGCAGGAAGAGUUUCCCAGAGAUUAGAGGCACUGCAGCAAGCAAAGGAAGCACAAGGGAUUUCUCUCUGAUAUUUACUGUGAGAACCUGGUUGAGCUCCUGGAGGAGGAUCAGAACAAACAUGAAGAACUUGGUUGGAGUAAUGGAUUGGUUGGGAACUAGAAAAAGUCUUGUUGCAGAGUCACCAGGCUGCCGAGACAAGGCUUGGUAAAGAAUCUACAACCCUGUGUUGAGAGAAGGCUGUGUUCUAAUGGAGAACGGAAGAGGCAGAGUCUGAGAGUCUGAUAAAAUGAGCCUGUGCCUCCAAGCAUAAUAGUGGUGCCUUCUGAUUUUGCAGUAUCUCUAGUCAAUGAAGCCACAAGCUGCUGAUUUCCUCAGGUUAUCAUCUUUCAGAGUGAAGACACAGAAUCCCUUUAAGAAUGGGAGACUCAGAACAGAGUUUGAGACAUACCUUCUGAAACGGCAGCCUCUUGAGAGCCUGAUUCCCACUCAAGAGUGUUCCCGCUCCACAUUUUUCACACCAA